UACGUAGGGGGCGAGCGUUGUCCGAAGUUACUGGGCGUAAAGCGCGCGUAGGCGGCCUCUUAAGUGAGGGGUGAAAGGUUCAGGGCUCAACCCGAACACUGCCUUUCAUACUGGGAGUCUUGAGUGCGGGAGAGGCGAGUGGAAUGGUCGGUGUAGCGGUGAAAUGCGUAGAUAUCGAUCGGAACACCCAUGGCGAAGGCAGCUCGCUGGCCUGUAACUGACGCUGAGGUGCGAAAGCGUGGGGAGCAAACAGG
rnacentral:rRNA from 1 species